GACCUGGGGAGGGAGCGUGAAAGGAUGAAUGAAAAGUCCGGAGCCGGAGCGCGCCCGGGCCAGAGCAGCAGCAGAGGCAGAGCGGAGAGCUAGGGAGGUGAGGCCCGCUUUGCCCUGCUCGCCUUGGCUCGGCGGAGGCCGCGAUCUCGGCGGGCGCCUCCACCCCGGCGCCCGCUGAGCCCUGGCACCUCGGACUCAGGGCCAUGGCUCUCCGUGGGCGGGAACGUGCCGGGAGGACCGCGCGGGAGAGCACAGAUGGGCACACUAGGCUCGAUGUAAGUGGCCUGGUCGGCUCAGGGCACGAGGUGGGCUAGCGCCUCGGAAUGCAGCGUGCUGGCGCCUCCGCCACGAGGGGCCAGCCGAGCGCUACACCCUCCUCGAGGCUCCUGGGACCUCCUUGACAAUUCCCUUUCCUGAUCGGAACCCCCACCAACCUCUAGGGCACCUCUAGCUUCGGACCCCCGGCCAUUUUCACAGCCCUGGGUGAUUUCAGGACCUCUUUGUACAAUGCCAUUUCUCUGGGGGCUCCUGUGGGGCCUGGGACUCGGUUCACCUUCCGGCCCGCCCUCCGCUUUCCUCCCUCUUCUCCAUUUCUUGGGUGCUCUCUCGGAACCCUUCUCGGGUGGGGUCUUUACCCUUUUCUUCUCUCCUUGAGAGGCUCUCUUAGGGGAGUCUCUGGGUCGCCUCCCACCCCACCCCCCACCCGCUUCCCUCUCUCUUUGGGUUGCCGGGAUUUCCCUGUUUCCUACUGGGAUGCCUCCGGGGUUUUACCCCUAGGAUUUCUCUGCCCUCUCCCCUUUUUGGUCAGCAGCUUAGAUCCAGCCCUUUCCCCUGCACGAGUUCCGCUUCGCUUCCACCGUCCUUGCGAGUUGGGAGGUGUGUGGUGGGGCUAGUUCCUCGCCUCCCCACUGCGACCCCAACGUGGAGGCUCUGGCUCCGCUGAAAGCUAAGGCUCAGGCUAUCGGAUGCGCCCCGGAUCUUCCAAAGGAGGGCAAUGGAGACCCCGUGAGGUUUGGGAGGCCUCCGCCUCGGUCCCUGCGGUCUUCCCGGGUGGCACGAAAAGCCCGUGAGUCUCUCCUCCCAGGGACCAGAGAAACUCCUGCUUCUUCUCGAAUGGGGGGCUGGAAACCGGGUGUCACAAGGUUUUGGGGUCGGGGGUAUUCCCGGACUUUGGACACCAUCGGCCCUCGCCUCUUUUCCACGCCUUUUUCGGUCUCUAUCGUGUCUGUAUCUCUAUGUCUCUGAGUCUUUUCCUGUCUUGAACUCUGUUUCUCUCUUCAUCUCCCACCUCUACCCGUGUACCCUCUCCCCAGCCCCCACCGGCGGGCAACCGAGAGGCUGCGGCGGUGCAGGCGUCGGCAGCGGCAGCCGAGAGGCUGCGUGGAAGAGGCGGCGGCGGCAGCCAGGAGGCGGGGUUGGUUGUUAUCUUUGGUUAUCUAGCUGUAUGAGUGGUGUGGAGUCUUCAUAAAGCUAGAUAACCGAAAGUAAAAAUAACCCCAUACACUGCGCAGAGGGGCCCCAGGAAAACUGGCCGCACCGGCGGGCGGGGGAGGCCUAAGCGAAGGGCUAGAGCUGCCAGGACCCACGGGCCAUGGGAGGCGAGAAGAGGACCCGGCGGCCCGCGGGCCUCAAGACCGCACCGGUCGGGGCGACUUUCCACCCUCCAACUCCGGUUCGCGCAGCCCCUCACCUGGGUGCGGGUGGGUGCUGCACCACCCUCCUUCUCUCUUUCCUCCACACGGGCGCCAGAGUCGUAUCCAGCACCAUGGACAGCUCCCGGGCGGAAAUUCUAUGAUCUUGCUUAUUCCUGUCUUGGGAAGUCCUUCCCAAUGUCUAACCAAGAGCUGUACUACUGAAGUACCAGUUCUUUGAUCCUUGGCUUGACAUGGCUAAUUCGAGAGGCACAGCUUCCCUCUACCCCAGGGAGGAAGGAACAGACCUUGAUUUGACAGCCACUUGCUUGUACCAAAAAGAACCUACUUCACCCAGUUGGCCUGGGUCUCCUCUGAGAAGCUGCCCUGAUUGACUGAAAGAUGAUGCUAAACUCUAGCAAGUUGAGCAGCUCCUCCAAGAAGCCCUUGAGCAGGAUAGAAAUGGGGAGGCCUUAGCCUCCAGCCUGGGCAGACCGUUAUACCUGGAGCCAUCUGGGAUAAGACUUUGCUUCACCAUUUCUCCCAUGUCUACAAGCUGUCCAUUCGGGACCAUCCUGGUUUCUCUUGUGUCGUCCGAGUUGAGAUUCCUAUGAGAUGGAAGUCCCGUCUCAUGUCUAAUAAAGACUCUUGAAUAUUGAACAACA